rnacentral:rRNA from 1 species
CACGGGGGGAGCAAGCGUUGUUCGGAAUCACUGGGCGUAAAGGGCGUGUAGGCGGUUGGUUAAGUCUGAUGUGAAAGCCCCGGGCUCAACCUGGGAAUGGCAUUGGAAACUGGCCAGCUGGAGUGUGGCAGAGGGGGGUGGAAUUCCGCGUGUAGCAGUGAAAUGCGUAGAGAUGCGGAGGAACACCGAUGGCGAAGGCAGCCCCCUGGGCCAACACUGACGCUCAGGCACGAAAGCGUGGGGAGCAAACAGG